GAUGAACGCUGGCGGCGUGCCUAAUACAUGCAAGUCGAGCGAACAGACGAGGAGCUUGCUCCUCUGACGUUAGCGGCGGACGGGUGAGUAACACGUGGAUAACCUACCUAUAAGACUGGGAUAACUUCGGGAAACCGGAGCUAAUACCGGAUAAUAUAUUGAACCGCAUGGUUCAAUAGUGAAAGACGGUUUUGCUGUCACUUAUAGAUGGAUCCGCGCCGCAUUAGCUGGUUGGUAAGGUAACGGCUUACCAAGGCAACGACGCGUAGCCGACCUGAGAGGGUGAUCGGCCACACUGGAACUGAGACACGGUCCAGACUCCUACGGGAGGCAGCAGCAGGGAAUCUUCCGCAAUGGGCGAAAGCCUGACGGAGCAACGCCGCGUGAGUGAUGAAGGUCUUCGGAUCGUAAAACUCUGUUAUUAGGGAAGAACAAAUGUGUAAGUAACUAUGCACGUCUUGACGGUACCUAAUCAGAAAGCCACGGCUAACUACGUG
rnacentral:rRNA from 1 species